rnacentral:rRNA from 1 species
AAUGAACGCUGGCGGCAGGCCUAACACAUGCAAGUCGAACGGGUCCUUCGGGACUAGUGGCGGACGGGUGAGUAACGCGUGGGAACGUGCCCUUUGCUACGGAAUAGCCUCUGGAAACGGAGAGUAAUACCGUAUGUGCCCUUCGGGGGAAAGAUUUAUCGGCAAAGGAUCGGCCCGCGUUGGAUUAGGUAGUUGGUGGGGUAAUGGCCUACCAAGCCGACGAUCCAUAGUUGGUUUGAGAGGAUGAUCAGCCACACUGGGACUGAGACACGGCCCAGACUCCUACGGGAGGCAGCAGUGGGGAAUCUUAGACAAUGGGGGAAACCCUGAUCUAGCCAUGCCGCGUGAUCGAUGAAGGCCUUAGGGUUGUAAAGAUCUUUCAGGUGGGAAGAUAAUGACGGUACCACCAGAAGAAGCCCCGGCUAACUCCGUGCCAGCAGCCGCGGUAAAAC